UCAAGCAUUGUCCUUUCGUGGGUGGCGAUCCAGCAUGAGGCCGGGCCAAGGGCUUGGCUCCGGAGUCCCAUCGAGCUGUGUGGGAUCCCAGCGCUGCUGCUCACUGUGACGCUGAGCAAGCUCCUCCUCCACUGAACCUGAGGCUCGUUGUCUUUAAACGAGGCCAAGAGCAGUGUCAGGGUUCACUGUGAAGGUGAAACGCCUGUCCAUCAUGUCGGUCGCCUGUGACAUUGUUAUCAGGGACCUGGCGCAGCACGCCCUCCUCAUGUGGCGGCGCUCACUAUCGCAUCGCUAGCGUAUUCUUUGGCAGAAGACGCUUCCUGGCCCAUUGUCUUUGAAUCAAAGCCUUUCAUUAUGACGCUUCCGUUUUCUUUCUUCCUGACUUUCUCUACAAAGCAAAACGCUAUCAGUCCAUCUGAGUCCACCCUCCUUCCUGAAUAUUCCCCACACGGCCACCUCACUCACAUCUCGUCUUGACAUUCCUAUCGCCCAUAUAUACCAAUAGCAUAUACCAAACUACUUAAAAAACAUGUUUUUUAUUGAUUUCAGACAAGAAGGGAAAGGGAUAGAGAAACAUCACUGAUGACAGAGAAUCACUGAUCGGCUGCCUCCUGCACGGCCCCGACUGGGGAUCAAGCCCGCAACCUGGGCAUGUGCCCUGACCCGGAAUUGAACCAAACACUGAGCCACCCUGGCCGGGCUAUGCCAAACUAUUUACUUGACCACUACUGGCUUUUCUCACGGGGCUCUGGGUGUGGUCUGUCUCCCUGAUUGAGUUUUAAGCACCUUCAGGACAAGGAUCAUGCCUGACACCACAUUUGUUCCACACGGACUAUUCUAGAAGGCGCUGGGCAGAGAGCCGGUGCUCAGCAGACAAUGUGGAGUUCACUUUCUAUUUGGAAGGCAAUGAAGACAACACCCCCCGCUGGAACGGUCUAAAGGACAGACACCUCCUGAGCUGUCACCGAGAGCUCUGGGCCGGGCCGGGGAGAUGAUCCCUGAGCUCACGAGGGCCGAAAGGGGAUCUGGCCACACGUCACAUGUGUGCGUGGGACGUGGGAGGAGGCCAGUGAACUGUGAGUCAAAGAAUUGGUGUAAACAAACCAAGCGAUCACAUGCCCUCUGCUCUGCCCCUGCCCACGGCUGGUCCAGGGCCGGCCGUGGGGGCUGGAGUGGUGGGGAGGGCGGACGCCUGGUGGUGUGGCCCACGCCGUGAUCAGGGCUCCCUCUCCCACCACCUCCCAGGUUUCUCCGCGGCCAAGGGCAGGCCCUGGGCUAGAACAGCAGCUGAUAGACAGCAGAGCCGAGCUGGCGCAGGGGAGGGAAUGGAAGACGUGGUGCCCGGGCCCACCUGGGGAGGCAGCAUGUUCAGAGCCCAGUGCGUUCUGAGCCUGGCAGGCCUGCGGGAGGCGCGCCCGGGGCCUGCAGCGCGGUGCCCAGGCCAGGGUGGAUUCCGCCUGCGUCACAGCUCUGCAGAGGGCAUGGCCCUCCCGGCCAUGUCCGCAUCGCCGCCCGUCCUCCCUGGUGAUCUGGACGGACCCUGGGGUCCCGGGGUGCGGGGGCCACCCUCCCGGCUCCAGGUUCCAACGAGAGUCAGGAGACGCCCCAUUGGCCGCGUGUUCCUACCCUUGCAGGCCCCCGUUCGCUUGGUGAGCUCCAUGCGUGUGACCAGGUUGCAGGCAUGAAGCACCUGCGUUUCUCAGACCUUGUACGUGCUCCCCUCGUGGAGCAGGUGAGCAGGAGGUGGCACCAUGCCUCGUGCAUCCCGGCCCGUUUCUGAGGUCUCCUAACUCGACACUUAACGAAGCAGACCCCACUGGUUGAGUCUAUUCUUUGUAGAAUUCUUCAGCAAAGCUGCCCACACACGUCAAAACUCAGGAGAGUCCACGGGGAGAGUUAAAUGCUCCGAAUUCCAGGCCUGCCCUACGCACGUAUUUGCCUCUGUAACCUUCACCUAUGACCAGUUCCCGGUACCAUGGAUUUCCUGCGUCAGUGCAGCGUGUCAAACCGUUACAGACGCCAAGGCUCACUGCGCUCGCAACCCAUGUGCCCAGACCACCUGCCACAGGGGCCGUCUCACGGACGGAGGCGACGUUCGUGCUGCCACCCAGGAGCCAGCGCUUCGAGACCGCAGAUUUAAGUUGUGCUGCCUGAUGUCCGACCUCAAUAACAGCUGUCAUUGGGCUAAAUACACCCAA